rnacentral:rRNA from 1 species
UACGUAGGGUGCAAGCGUUGUCCGGAUUUACUGGGCGUAAAGAGCGCGCAGGCGGUCGUUCAAGUCGCGUGUGAAAGCCCCCGGCUCAACUGGGGAGGGUCACGCGAUACUGAUCGACUCGAAGGCAGGAGAGGGAAGCAGAAUUCCCGGUGUAGUGGUGAAAUGCGUAGAUAUCGGGAGGAAUACCAGUGGCGAAGGCGGCUUCCUGGCCUGUUCUUGACGCUGAGGCGCGAAAGCUAGGGUAGCAAACGGG